rnacentral:rRNA from 1 species
UACGGGGGGGAGCAAGCGUUGUUCGGAUUUACUGGGCGUAAAGGGCGCGUAGGCGGCGUGACAAGUCACUUGUGAAAUCUCCGGGGCUUAACUCGGAACGGUCAAGUGAUACUGUCGUGCUAGAGUACAGAAGGGGCAACUGGAAUUCUCGGUGUAGCGGUGAAAUGCGUAGAUAUCGAGAGGAACACCUGCGGCGAAGGCGGGUUGCUGGGCUGAUACUGACGCUGAUGAGCGAAAGCUAGGGGAGCAAACGGG